rnacentral:rRNA from 1 species
UGGAGCAUGUGGUUUAAUUCGAAGCAACGCGCAGAACCUUACCAGCCUUUGACAUCCUAGGACGACUUCUGGAGACAGAUUUCUUCCCUUCGGGACCUAGUGACAGGUGCUGCAUGGCUGUCGUCAGCUCGUGUCGUGAGAUGUUGGGUUAAGUCCCGCAACGAGCGCAACCCUCGUCCUUAGUUGCCAUCAUUAAGUUGGGCACUUUAAGGAAACUGCCGGUGAUAAGCCGGAGGAAGGUGGGGAUGACGUCAAGUCCUCAUGGCCCUUACAGGCUGGGCUACACACGUGCUACAAUGGCAUCUACAGUGGGCAGCUAUUCCGCAAGGAUGCGCUAAUCUCCAAAAGAUGUCUCAGUUCGGAUUGUCCUCUGCAACUCGAGGGCAUGAAGGCGGAAUCGCUAGUAAUCGCGGAUCAGCAUGCCGCGGUGAAUACGUUCCCAGGCCUU